AUUGAACGCUGGCGGAAUGCUUUACACAUGCAAGUCGAGCGGCAGCGCGGGGCAACCUGGCGGCGAGCGGCGAACGGGUGAGUAAUACAUCGGAACGUACCCAGUUGUGGGGGAUAGCCCGGCGAAAGCCGGAUUAAUACCGCAUACGACCUGAGGGUGAAAGUGGGGGAUCGCAAGACCUCACGCAGUUGGAGCGGCCGAUGGCGGAUUAGCUAGUUGGGAGGGUAAAGGCCUACCAAGGCGACGAUCCGUAGCGGGUCUGAGAGGACGACCCGCCACACUGGAACUGAGACACGGUCCAGACUCCUACGGGAGGCAGCAGUGGGGAAUUUUGGACAAUGGGGGCAACCCUGAUCCAGCCAUUCCGCGUGAGUGAAGAAGGCCUUCGGGUUGUAAAGCUCUUUCGGCAGGAACGAAACGGUGGGCUCUAACAUAGCCUGCUAAUGACGGUACCUGAAGAAGAAGCACCGGCUAACUACGUGCCAGCAGCCGCCGCAG
rnacentral:rRNA from 1 species